ACACUUCAGCAGCCCAUAUACUAAAAUUGAAAUGAUACAGAGAAGAUUAGCAUAGCCUGUGCACAAGAAUGACAUGCAAAUUCGUGAAGAGUUCCAUAUGUAA